rnacentral:tRNA from 1 species
GGGAAUAUAGUUUAAUGGUAAAACAAGUCCCUUUUAAGGAUUAGUUGAGAGUUCGAUUCUCUCUGUUCCCACCA